GUUGAUUCUGCCGGACCCGACUGCUAUCAGAGUGGGACUAAGCCAUGCGAGUCAACAUAGCAAUAUGUGGCAUACGGCUCAGUAACACGUAGUCAACAUGCCCAGGGGACGUGGAUAACCUCGGGAAACUGAGGAUAAACCGCGAUAAGUCACUACUUCUGGAAUGGGUAAUGACUCAAAUCUAUAUGGCCCCUGGAUUGGACUGCGGCCGAUCAGGCUGUUGGUGAGGUAAUGGCCCACCAAACCUGUAACCGGUACGGGCUCUGAGAGGAGGAGCCCGGAGAUGGGCACUGAGACAAGGGCCCAGGCCCUAUGGGGCGCAGCAGGCGCGAAACCUCUGCAAUAGGCGAAAGCUUGACAGGGUUACUCUGAGUGAUUUCCGUUAAGGAAAUCUUUUGGCACCUCUAAAAAUGGUGCAGAAUAAGGGGUGGGCAAGUCUGGUGUCAGCCGCCGCGGUAAUACCAGCACCCCGAGUGGUCGGGACGUUUAUUGGGCCUAAAGCAUCCGUAGCCGGUUCUACAAGUCUUCCGUUAAAUCCAACUGCUUAACAGGUGGGCUGCGGAAGAUACUAUAGAGCUAGGAGGCGGGAGAGGCAAGCGGUACUCGAUGGGUAGGGGUAAAAUCCGUUGAUCCAUUGAAGACCACCAGUGGCGAAGGCGGCUUGCCAGAACGCGCUCGACGGUGAGGGAUGAAAGCUGGGGGAGCAAACCGGAUUAGAUACCCGGGUAGUCCCAGCUGUAAACGAUGCAGACUCGGUGAUGAGUUGGCUAUAUGCCAACUCAGUGCCGCAGGGAAGCCGUUAAGUUUGCCGCCUGGGGAGUACGGUCGCAAGACUGAAACUUAAAGGAAUUGGCGGGGGAGCACCACAAGGGGUGAAGCCUGCGGUUCAAUUGGAGUCAACGCCGG
rnacentral:rRNA from 1 species